rnacentral:misc_RNA from 1 species
CCAAUAGCGUAUAUUAAAGUUGUUGCAGUUAAAAAGCUCGUAGUUGAAUUUCGGGGUUAGUAGGUUGGUCAUGCCUCUGGUAUGUACUGGUCUCACUGAUUCCUCCUUCCUGAUGAACCUUAAUGCCAUUUAUUUGGUGUUUUGGGGAAUUUGGACUGUUACUUUGAAAAAAUUAGAGUGUUUAAAGCAAGCUAACGCUUGAAUACAUUAGCAUGGAAUAAUGAAAUAGGACGUUCGUUCCUAUUUUGUUGGUUUCUAGGAUUGACGUAAUGAUUAAUAGGUAUAGUUGGGGGCAUUAGUAUUCAAUUGUCAGAGGUGAAAUUCUUGGAUUUAUUGAAGACUAACUACUGCGAAAGCAUUUGCCAAGGAUGUUUUCAUUAAUCAAGAACGAAAGUUAGGGGAUCGAAGACGAUCAGAUACCGUCGUAGCCUUAACCAUAAACUAUGCCGACUAGGGAUCGGAUGAUGUUAAUUUUUUAAUGACUCAUUCGGCGCCUUACG